rnacentral:rRNA from 1 species
CCCUUAGAUGUUCUGGGCCGCACGCGCGCUACACUGAUUCAUGUAACAAGUUUUGUCCUUGGCUGAUAGGCCUGGGUAAUCUUUGAACGUGAAUCGUGAUGGGGAUAGAUGAUUGCAAUUAUUCAUCUUCAACGAGGAAUUCCUAGUAAACGCAAGUCAUCAGCUUGCAUUGAUUACGUCCCUGCCCUUUGUACACACCGCCCGUCGCACCUACCGAUUGAAUGGUCCGGUGAAAUCUUCGGAUCUGAGAGAUGUCUGAUUAAUUUCGGACGCCUUUUGGAAAAGUUGCUUAAACCUUACCAUUUAGAGGAAGGUGAANUCGUANCA